UACAGUUCUGGAGGAUAGGAAGUUCAAGAUCAAUGUGCCAGAUGAUUGGUGUCUGGUGAGGGACCCUUCCUCAUAGACAGCACCUUCACGUUGUGUCCUCACAUGGUGGAAGGAGCUAGCUAGCUCUCUGGGGCCUUUUUUUUAUAAGAACAGUAAUCCCAUUCAUGAGGGCUUUGUCCUUAUAACUUAAUUACCUCCCAGAGGCUUCAGUUUCUAAUACCACCACCUUAGGGGUUAAGAUUUCAACAUAUAAGUUUGGCGGGGUGGAGAGAAAUAAACAUUCAGACCACAGCAGAAGGUUGCCCUAAAUUCUGGAGUCGGGGAGGGGGGAAGUAUCGCAAGAAAACAGGAACACUGAAAGACAUGGGCUCCUUCUCAGAUCUUAGAGAACAAAAGAAAGAACUAAAUGGAGAUGUGGGAAUCACAAGGCCAUAGUUUAGGGUCUCGCAGUGCCAUUGGCAACAAAGCCUGAGAGCCUAGGCGAUAGAGGCAGAACACCCAGAGGAGAAGCCCCUUCCCCUUGCACCGUGAGCCUGGUGUUUGCAGCUUGGUAGCAGUGGCAACAGAACAAUCAGCUCUCCUACAAUAAACCAGGGACGGAACAAACAACAGCAGCAGCGGUCGCAGGGAAACAGAAUCUGUGUUGGCGUGCAGGGAGCAGGCAGCGUCUGCAAAGUAGCGCUGGCAACCACAACAGAGAGGCCAGCAACAGGAGGAGCAGGAGGAGCCCUGGAACAAGUACAGUUGACUCUGAACAAGUCAGGUUUGAACUGCAUGGGUCCACUCAUAUGAAGAUUUCUUUCAACGAAAGCUACCCCGAGUGUGCCUGCCUUUCCUGCCUCCCCUUCCACCUCCUGCACCUCUACCAUCCCUGCCACCCCUAAGACAGCAAGGCCAGUCUCUUCUCUCUCCCCCUCCUCCUUCAGCCUAUUCAACUUGAAGAUGACAAGGAUGAAGAGCUUUAUGAUGAUCUACUUCCCCUUAAUGAACAGCUGGAGUGCAAUGGUGUGAUCUUGUCUCACUGCAACUUCUGCCUCCCAGGUUCAAGUGAUUCUCCUGCCUCAGCCUCCCAAGUAACUGUGAUUUCAGGUGCCCGCCACUACACCCGGCUAAUUUUUGUAUUUUUAGUAGAGGCGGGGUUUUGCCAUGUUGGCCAGGCUGGUCUCAAAACUCCUGACCUCAGGAGUUCGGCCUCCGAAAGUGCUGGGAUUACAGGCAUGAGCCACUGUGCCCGGCCUAGAAAACUGGUGUUUCCAACAAGUCCUUUGGUGCUGCUGGUGCUACUGCGGGCCUUCUGAGGAGACUUUGAGAACCGCUGCAUCAGGAUUAUCAGCCUGGUAACUCCUGGCCGAAGAAAUGCACACCCUUCAUUUGGCUAAAAGAAAGAAUUUCCAAUAUUCAUAAAGAAAACACAACUUGUGGGUUCUCCAAGCAGGAGAGGAAAAAUCAUGUUCCAGUCUAUUCCUGUAACUAAUGAAGGGCUCAGGUUUCAAAGGUAAGUUAAUUGUCAGACCCACUUUAUUGUACCCAGUGUCCUUGGGAAACAUAAUUAUUUAUUGGAAAUAUGUCACAACUAACAUAAGUCUUAAAAAUUUGUUAAAUUAGAAACAAAAUAUUGUAUUUGCUGAUAUGUUAAAACAUAAGGGCCUAACAUUUAGAAUUGCACUUCUCAUACUCACAACAUGUACUCAAAAUGCUGUUAACAUCUACUUUGAUGAUUGUUUUGGGUUUACUUGAAUCUAAUGUUUCCAUUUAAUAAUUCCUUUUUUUUCCCCUUUCCUUUUUUCAAUCAAUCCUUUCUCUUUUCUAUGUUCUAUAUUCAUGUUAUCUUAGAAUUCCAUUUUGGCCUUCUAGGUUCUUUACUUCUUCCUCCAGCCUGUCAUUUUCAUGUCUUCAGUGAUUUCUCAGACUUCUCACAGAAAGUUAACCAUUUUUGUGCAUCUUGAAACUUUUAACCUUUGAUUUGAAGAUAAAUGCUAAUAAAUAAAUAUAAUUCUUAUGAAUACAUUAUGCACAAUGUUAAAUUCAAAAUGACUGACAUGUUUCAUGCUGUGUGCUAUAGAUAUGCUAAACUUCAUUUCAAACAGACUAAAUAAAACACAUGGAACUACAUGCACUUUUUGUGAACAGCAUCUUCAUACCUGUUGUUUGUUAAUGUCAGCAAUUAUAAGCUUAUAGGUGUGUUUUUCAAGUGAUCACUGAAAAUAAAUGUAGUAUGUCUAUUGGCAGAACCACUCACACCUACUAAUUAUUUGAAAAACAUGCUCA
rnacentral:lncRNA from 1 species